CUAGGAAAAUGAAACUCUAAAAAGCCUAUAACACUGUGCCGGGUAUAAAGAGGAGGAUCACAUCACUGGGAAUGCAGAGAGAUCAGCACACACAGAGGACAAGUCACCCCGCAGAUUACUAUGAAACUGCUUUUCCAGGUUGCACUGGUAUCCUGCAUACAUUUCCUGCACGCUCAGCCCACAGGUAAGUGGCUAUUUAAAUAUUUUUAAAGUAUAUUUCCAAAUGUACCUCAUUCAAAUCCAGACUAAUUAUCAGAAC